rnacentral:rRNA from 1 species
GAUGAACGCUGGCGGCGUGCCUAAUACAUGCAAGUCGAGCGAACGGACGAGAAGCUUGCUUCUCUGAUGUUAGCGGCGGACGGGUGAGUAACACGUGGAUAACCUACCUAUAAGACUGGGAUAACUUCGGGAAACCGUAGCUAAUACCGGAUAAUAUUUUGAACCGCAUGGUUCAAAAGUGAAAGACUGUCUUGCUGUCACUUAUAGAUGGAUCCGCGCUGCAUUAGCUAGUUGGUAAGGUAACGGCUUACCAAGGCAACGAUGCAUAGCCGACCUGAGAGGGUGAUCGGCCACACUGGAACUGAGACACGGUCCAGACUCCUACGGGAGGCAGCAGUAGGGAAUCUUCCGCAAUGGGCGAAAGCCUGACGGAGCAACGCCGCGUGAGUGAUGAAGGUCUUCGGAUCGUAAAACUCUGUUAUUAGGGAAGAACAUAUGUGUAAGUAACUGUGCACAUCUUGACGGUACCUAAUCAGAAAGCCGCGGCUAACUACGUG